rnacentral:lncRNA from 1 species
UAUAAGAGCUUACGGAGUACCAGUCGUCUCACUUUCUCCGUACGGUAGACUUGUGUUCAGCAGUUUUCUCAGCUCCACUCUCGACAUUCUGAAGAUUUAUUCACCGACGAUGGCUGGCUAUCUCGUCACCUUACUUGCCGUUGCCAUGGUGACAGUGACCGUGGUUAAAGAAACCCAGGCAGUGUGCUGUAAAUCGGUGGAGCGCGGCUGGUGUGCGGACUGUACAGAGACAACUCCAUACUGCGGAUACGGAAAGUGUAACAUUUUCGGUUGUGCUUGCAAAGGCGGGUGUAGGAAAGAUUGCGGCCCGACUUACAGUGGCUAUUACAACAUACCUUGGAAUGGAGGAAGAUACUAUUACUGCACGUGCACGAAGACUAAGAGAUCAGCUGAAGUCCAGCAAGAAGAGGAAAAUCCGGCUGAAAACGCCGAACUCAGAAAUAUUUUCGAACUCGAAAACCCUGAAUUCGGCGGGUAAAGAAGCGACGCUUAUAACAUGAGAUGCCGCUAUUUCCAAGGCUUAAAUUGACCUUGAGAAACGACGCAUGCUCAGAAAAGGAAGAGCACCAGAUGCAAAUUGAUUCCUUUUAUUAACUAUAUUCAGAUGUGAAAAACUUAUUGAAGAGAGUUACAUUCUUACGCGUUCUUUUUUUUCUUUGUUACUUUUCCUUUUUGUAAUCUCAAUGUUUUAAGGCACCUAAAUGCCUUUCAGCAAUCCCGAAUGCGUCUAAAAUGUUUUUAGCUAUAUUUUAAUAUUUUCACAUCUGUAUUCAUAGAACAAUAAUCACACUCUUGGCUUAUGACAUCUUAUUAUUUCUUCUUCCCAGAGUUCUGUACAUGUUAUAUUGUAAUUGCUGCUUGCAAAUAAAUUAUCAGCCUUCAAUUAAA